CCUUAAAACCAAAAAUCAUUAUUUUUUCUGAGCAGAAAAACUUUGUGGUGGAUAUAUAUAUAUAUAUAUUCUGAAGUUCAAGGAGCCCCAGGAGUGAGAAGACAUGAUUCAGGGUGUCCAUGCAUCUCAGAGAUGUUGUGCCAAAACGUGUGUGCAUGACAGCAUUUUUCUUGGAGAGCUCAUAGGCUAAUUAACUUCUCAACAGCAACUGGAACCCAGAGAGGAAACAUUGCAAAAACAUCAGCCUCAAGCUCUGGAGCACAAUCACUAAGAGAGGAUCAUCCAUGAGUCAAUUCUCAACCUCUCUUUCUCCAGGGAACAAGAAAGCAAAAUACCAGAAUUCCAACCCAAGCAUGAUACGCAAUUCAACUUCGGGUGACAAAAUAUUUAUAGAUGACCCUGGGACAACUAAGGGUAAGAAGCACAGCCCUUUGGGCAGCAGACAUCUGCAUAAAACUUUAAUUCCCCCAAAACUUAACAACUAAAAGCCUACUGUUGACUGGAAGCCUUACUGAUCACAUAAAUAGUUGAUCAACACAUAUUUUGUGUUAUAUGUAUUAUAUAUUGUAUUGGCACAAUAAAGCAAGCUAGAGGAAAGGAAAUUUUAUUAUGAAAAUCACUAGGAAGAGGAAAUACAUUUGGAGCACUGUACUGUAAAAAAUCCAUGUGUAAGUGGUUUUUCAUAGUUCAGACCCGUGUUGUUCAAGGGUCACUUGUAAAUCAAAAAAAGAGAUGUCCAAAAGUGGUAUAAUUUCCAGAGCCAUUAGAGCAAGGAGUUGUUAACUCUACUGAUGCUAUGUGACAUAAGUCUGUGUAUAUUUCCAUUUGUUUAGAUUUUCUCUAGAGACUGUCCAUGAAUCAUAUGCAUCUUUCCAUGAAGGAUUGCCUGUUGUCAUUAGGGUUAUUCCUAUGUACUUUACAUUUUGGAUACUAUUUAAGUGGCAUCAUAAAAUUUUAAUUUUCUUGUAUGUUUGUGGGUAUAAAGAAUGCAAUUCAGUUUUUGUAUAUCGAUUUUGUGCCCAGUAACCUUGUUAAGAUCUACCAAUUUUAGUGUAUUAUCUGUACAUUCUUUUAGUUUUUCUAUGAAGACCACCAUACAUCAUCUGUAAAUGAUGACAGUUUUGCUUUUUUAUUUCCAGUUCUUAUACCAAUUAUCUAUUUUCCUUGCUUUAUUGUACUUUCUAGAUCUUCCAUAUAAUCUUAAGUAUGUAUACACAUACACAAUGGAAUAUCUCUCAGUCAUCAAAAAGAAUGACGUCUUAAAAAAAAAAAGAAUGACGUCUUGCCACUGGCAACAAUGUGGAUAGAACUAGAGGGAAAUAAGUGAGUCAGAGAAGACAGAUACCAUAUGAUCUCACUCAUAAUGUGGAAGUUAAGAAAGAAAAGAGAUGAACAUAUGGAAAGGAGGAAAAGAAAAAAGGAAAGGGAGACAAACCAUUAAGGACUCUUUACUUUAGAGAACACAGUGAGGGUUGAUGGAGGGAGAAGGUGGGGAUGAGCUAGAUGGAUGGUAGGUAUUAUUAUAAUUUUAAAAAUAUUUUAUUUAUUUAUUUGACAGUGAGAGAGGGAGAGCACAAGCAGAGUGAGUGGGAGAGGGAGAGGCAGGCUCCCCACUAAUCAGGGAGCACAAUCAGGAGCUCAACAUCAAGACCCCAGGAUCACCACCCAAAAUGAAGGUAGAUGUUUAACCUCUGAGCUACCUAGGCACACUGGAUGAUAGAUAGGUAUUUAAGAAGGCACUUGUCAUGAGGACUGGAUAUUGUAUGUAAGUGAGGAAUCACUGAAUUCUACUCCAGAAACCAGCAACCAAUAUUGCACUCUAUUUUAACCAAGUAAAGCUUAAGUGAAAAAAAAAAAAAACCUACUAUAUUGAAUAAAAGUAGGGUAAUGGCUCCCCAGGCUUAUUUAUGAUCUCAAGGUAAUUUUAAUGUUUCACUUUUGGGGGAGGAUAUUUGCUGCUAAGUUCUGGUGUAUAAUGAUUUUAAUAGCUUAAGGAACUUCAUUUCUAUUCCAGGUCUGCUGAGAAGUGUUGUUUUUUAUAAAAUUAUAAAUAGGCAUAAAUGUUUAAUAAAACAGAUGACUUUCCUACCUCUACCGAGAUUGCAGUGUGAUAUUUCUUCAUUUGUCCUUUAAUGUAGUGAUUUACAUAAUUCAUUUUCUGAUGUGAAGUAAACUCUGAAUUAGUACUGGAACAAACUCAACUUUGUUCAUGACAUAAGGUAUUAUAUUUUUAAUACAUGUAGGAGACCG
rnacentral:lncRNA from 1 species